CAGGCUGUAGUCUAGUGGUUAAGGUACAUGACUGGGACCCCUGAGGUUGGUUGUUCAAGCCCCUGUCCAGCCACA
rnacentral:tRNA from 1 species